rnacentral:rRNA from 1 species
AAAUUGAAGAGUUUGAUCAUGGCUCAGAUUGAACGCUGGCGGCAGGCCUAACACAUGCAAGUCGAACGGUAACAGGAAGAAGCUUGCUUCUUUGCUGACGAGUGGCGGACGGGUGAGUAAUGUCUGGGAAACUGCCUGAUGGAGGGGAUAACUACUGGAAACGGUAGCUAAUACCGCAUAACGUCGCAAGACCAAAGAGGGGGACCUUCGGGCCUCUUGCCAUCGGAUGUGCCCAGAUGGGAUUAGCUUGUUGGUGGGGUAACGGCUCACCAAGGCGACGAUCCCUAGCUGGUCUGAGAGGAUGACCAGCCACACUGGAACUGAGACACGGUCCAGACUCCUACGGGAGGCAGCAGUGGGGAAUAUUGCACAAUGGGCGCAAGCCUGAUGCAGCCAUGCCGCGUGUAUGAAGAAGGCCUUCGGGUUGUAAAGUACUUUCAGCGGGGAGGAAGGGAGUAAAGUUAAUACCUUUGCUCAUUGACGUUACCCGCAGAAGAAGCACCGGCUAACUCCGUGCCAGCAGCCGCGGUAAUACGGAGGGUGCAAGCGUUAAUCGGAAUUACUGGGCGUAAAGCGCACGCAGGCGGUUUGUUAAGUCAGAUGUGAAAUCCCCGGGCUCAACCUGGGAACUGCAUCUGAUACUGGCAAGCUUGAGUCUCGUAGAGGGGGGGUAGAAUUCCGGUGUAGCGGUGAAAUGCGUAGAGAUCUGGAGGAAUACCGGUGGCGAAGGCGGCCCCCUGGACGAAGACUGACGCUCAGGUGCGAAAGCGUGGGGAGCAAACAGGAUUAGAUACCCUGGUAGUCCACGCCGUAAACGAUGUCGACUUGGAGGUUGUGCCCUUGAGGCGUGGCUUCCGGAGCUAACGCGUUAAGUCGACCGCCUGGGGAGUACGGCCGCAAGGUUAAAACUCAAAUGAAUUGACGGGGGCCCGCACAAGCGGUGGAGCAUGUGGUUUAAUUCGAUGCAACGCGAAGAACCUUACCUGGUCUUGACAUCCACGGAAGUUUUCAGAGAUGAGAAUGUGCCUUCGGGAACCGUGAGACAGGUGCUGCAUGGCUGUCGUCAGCUCGUGUUGUGAAAUGUUGGGUUAAGUCCCGCAACGAGCGCAACCCUUAUCCUUUGUUGCCAGCGGUCCGGCCGGGAACUCAAAGGAGACUGCCAGUGAUAAACUGGAGGAAGGUGGGGAUGACGUCAAGUCAUCAUGGCCCUUACGACCAGGGCUACACACGUGCUACAAUGGCGCAUACAAAGAGAAGCGACCUCGCGAGAGCAAGCGGACCUCAUAAAGUGCGUCGUAGUCCGGAUUGGAGUCUGCAACUCGACUCCAUGAAGUCGGAAUCGCUAGUAAUCGUGGAUCAGAAUGCCACGGUGAAUACGUUCCCGGGCCUUGUACACACCGCCCGUCACACCAUGGGAGUGGGUUGCAAAAGAAGUAGGUAGCUUAACCUUCGGGAGGGCGCUUACCACUUUGUGAUUCAUGACUGGGGUGAAGUCGUAACAAGGUAACCGUAGGGGAACCUGCGGUUGGAUCACCUCCUUA